rnacentral:lncRNA from 10 species
UGCGGGGAGGACAGGCCAGCUCUGGAAGAAAACAGGUGGACCUGGGUCCCAUUAACCUGGACAGACACCUCCAAGAUGAGCAUGAGGGGGCUGCUGGAUCUGUUCUCCUUUCACAGCUGUAUCCUGAAGAAUGGCAGUGAGCCGGAAGAGCCACAGGAUUCGGCAAAGACGGACACACAGGAGAGGCUGCUUGGAAAUGAAGCUAACACAGCCUAAGGCAGAUUUGAGAGAGCAGCUGGAUCCAGCUGUACCUGAAGCCAAUUUGCUCCAGGAAAAUUCCAGUUAAGUGAA